rnacentral:lncRNA from 1 species
UGGGGGAUAAGUAUAAUAAAUAUUUUUAUAAACUUGGCAAUCAAGUUUAUGACUUGGUAAUCCCCGAUAAAUACGUCUCUCGUCUUCUCUCUUUCUCUAUCCCCUCUCUUUCUCUCUCGCCUACUCUCUUCUUUUCUCUCUCGGUUCUUGGCUGAAUUCGAGAAAUUAAUUGAAGAAAACUCGAAUUCAAGAAGGGGUUUGAAGAAGUGAGGUAUAUGAAACAAAUUUGAGGUUGGAAUUGCAAAUCCCCAAUUCGAAUUAUUGGCAGAAUUAGGGCUGCGUGAAGGAGGCUCUAUCAAGGGGCUAUUAUGAUCAGAUCGCCUCCGGUGGUGGUCGCAUCAGAUGAUUGGCGGUGGUGGCCGGAAUCCGACGAAGAAGACAAGCUGUCUUAGAAUCGGAUUUCAGCUUUUGGUCCUUCGAAGAAUUAAUUGCUCGGAGGCCUUAGAGGUUGAAUAUUGACGAUCAGGACACACGGUUAGAAACCUUGAGAUGUUAGCCUUCCAUUGGUGUUGGAGCUCGGUAGUAUUAAACAGCGGUGGUUGCCGGAAUUGGGCAAGAAGUUCAGCCCGCUCGCCGGAACCUUGAAGGAAAUAGUAUUUGCUGCCGCACCUGUUUUCGGAGCAGAAUUUGGAGGGUUUGGAGUGAGAAUUUGGGAAUCAUUCCUUCACAAAACUCGUAGAGGACCUCGAAAACUAUUGGUAAGUGUAAAAUUGUAUAGAGUUAGAAUAUGUUUUGAAGCUGAUUAGAGGUCCGAAUUAAGUGACGGUAAAUCUGUAAAAACAGGGCAGUUUUGAAUAUUCUUCUUACGAGGCCGUUUUUGCUAUGUUGAGCUAAUAAUUUGGGUUGUGUGCCUUCUGAGAACUUG